UACGAAGGGGGCUAGCGUUGUUCGGAAUUACUGGGCGUAAAGCGCACGUAGGCGGACUUUUAAGUCAGGUGUGAAAUCCCGGGGCUCAACCUCGGAACUGCAUUUGAAACUGGAAGUCUUGAGACCAGGAGAGGUUAGCGGAAUACCGAGUGUAGAGGUGAAAUUCGUAGAUAUUCGGUGGAACACCAGUGGCGAAGGCGGCUAACUGGACUGGUACUGACGCUGAGGUGCGAAAGUGUGGGGAG
rnacentral:rRNA from 1 species